rnacentral:rRNA from 1 species
AAUGAACGUUGGCGGCGUGGAUUAGGCAUGCAAGUCGUGCGCGAAUCGUAGCAAUACGAGGAGAGCGGCGAAAGGGAGAGGAUAGCAUAGAUACCUACCCCCGGACCUGGGAUAGCUAUGGGAAACUAUAGGUAAUACCAGAUAAUGUCUCCGGACCAAAGGUGUGACUCCGUCCGAGGAGGGGUCUAUGUCCUAUUAGCUUGUUGGUGAGGUAAUGGCUCACCAAGGCCAAGAUGGGUACGAGGCGUGAGAGCGUGUCCUCGCUCACUGGGACUGAGACACGGCCCAGACACCUACGGGUGGCUGCAGUCGAGAAUCUUCGGCAAUGGGCGCAAGCCUGACCGAGCGACGCCGCGUGCGGGAUGAAGGCCUUCGGGUUGUAAACCGCUGUCAGUGCGGAGGAAAUAUAGUGGGGUACUCCCCAUUAUUUGACCUAUGCGCAGAGGAAGGACGGGCUAAGUUCGUGCCAGCCGCCGCGGUAAGAC